rnacentral:rRNA from 1 species
CCUACGGGAGGCAGCAGUCGAGAAUCAUUCACAAUGGGGGAAACCCUGAUGGAGCGAAGCCGCGUGGGGGAAGGAAGGUCUGCGGAUUGUAAACCCCUGUCAUGUGGGAGCAAAUUAAAAAGAUAGUCCCACAAGAGGAAGAGACGGCUAACUCUGGGCCAGCAGCCGCGGUAAUCCAGAGGUCUCAAGCGUUGUUCGGAAUCACUGGGCGUAAAGCAGGCGUAGGCCGGUUCGUAAGUCGUGAUUGAAAGGCGCGGGCUCAACCCGCGGACGGAACAUGAUACUGCGGGACUAGAGUAAUGGAGGGGGAACCGGAAUUCUCGGUGUAGCAGUGAAAUGCGUAGAUAUCGAGAGGAACACUCGUGGCGAAGGCGGGUUCCUGGACAUUAACUGACGCUGAGGCACGAAGGCCAGGGGAGCGAAAGGGAUUAGAUACCCCAGUAGUC